rnacentral:rRNA from 1 species
CCUACGGGAGGCAGCAGUGGGGAAUUUUGGACAAUGGGGGCAACCCUGAUCCAGCAAUGCCGCGUGAGUGAAGAAGGCCUUCGGGUUGUAAAGCUCUUUUGUCAGGGAAGAAACACCGGCUCUAACACAGUCCGGGAAUGACGGUACCUGAAGAAUAAGCACCGGCUAACUACGUGCCAGCAGCCGCGGUAAUACGUAGGGUGCGAGCGUUAAUCGGAAUUACUGGGCGUAAAGCGUGCGCAGGCGGUUAUACAAGACAGGCGUGAAAUCCCCGGGCUUAACCUGGGAAUGGCGCCUGUGACUGUAUAGCUAGAGUGUGUCAGAGGGGGGUAGAAUUCCACGUGUAGCAGUGAAAUGCGUAGAUAUGUGGAGGAAUACCAAUGGCGAAGGCAGCCCCCUGGGAUAACACUGACGCUCAUGCACGAAAGCGUGGGGAGCAAACAGGAUUAGAUACCCUGGUAGUCCACGCCCUAAACGAUGCUGACUAGUUGUUCGGGAUUUACAUCCUGAGUAACGUAGCUAACGCGUGAAGUCAGCCGCCUGGGGAGUCGGUCGCAAGNUUAAAACCUUAAAUGAAAUUGACGG